GCCCACUACUCAUGUUGCCCUGUGAGGGAGGGUGGCUGGCACUGUUACAUGCUGAUGUUAUUGUCAUAUCUAUAGGAAACUAGUUGAAGAGGUUUUUCUUCUUCUCUUUUAUUGUUACAGAUCUCCUGGUCCAGCCUGAUAUCUCCCUGACUGACUCAAUGGGAGGGGUCUCCAGGGGCCACCAGGGGCCCGAGAUGUUCAGGGGCUACAGCUUCACCAUCACCUGCUCCACUCAGCCACAGUACCCAGGAGGCUCCUUCCUCCUCACGUUCACCGGCUCCAACAGAACCCAGACCCAGCCAGCUGUCAAUCACUCUGCUGCCUUCCUCUUCCCUGCUGCAGAUGACUCCCACCAAGGGAACUACAGCUGUGUUUAUGACAAUUAUGUUUUCUCUCAUAACUUCUCCUCUGAGAGUGAGCUCCUCUCCCUCACCAUCACAGGUAACUGAACAUGAACCAGACUUAUAACUUUGUCAUUGACAGAUUUCCCACAGAUCUAUGUGAUGAUGAUCAGUCCCCUCAUCAAAGGUGUUUCUGUUUGCAGCCUCUCCUCUGCCAGCCUUCAUCAUCAGACACGUUGUAGUGCUGCUGCUCCUACUGACAGCCAUCACCACCUCCUACCUGUACUACAAGCCCACCAGGAGGCAGAAGAGAGUGAACAGGGUGAGCAGCAUGGAUCUUUAUGUCAAUGCCAUGGAGAUGGUCUCUCUGAGCUCCAGAGCUGAAGCUGGACCGGGAGAGGAGAGAGCAGCCCAGGGGACGGAGUAGGAGUAGAAUGAAGCUGACCCUACAUGCUGAUCUUAGGUCAGUUUUGUGUUUUAAAUGGAUGGUCAGCAGUGGACUGGUGUUUAAAAUGUGGUGACAAACCUGAAGUGGUUUAAUUUUAAUAACAAGUUCAGAAUUAGUUUAUCUUUCUAGAACCUUGGAAGAAAUCUAAAAGGAGUGACUGCAACCACCAUUAUUCCUUUUAGUUUGUUUUUUACCACCAGGCUACAUGGGGUUCUGGGUAACAUGGGGUUCUGGGUAACAUGGGGUUCUGGGUAACAUGGGGUUCUGGGUAAUGUGAGGUUCUGGGUAACAUGGGAUUUCGGGUAACAUGGGGUUCUGGGUAACAUGGGGCUCUGGGUAACAUGGGGUUCUGGGUAACAUGGGGUUCUGGGUAACGUGAGGUUCUGGGUAACGUGGGGUUUGGGUAACAUGGUGUUUGGGGUAAUGUGGGGUUUUGGGUAACAUGGGGUUUUGGGUAACAUGGGGUUUUGGGUAACAUGCGGUUUGGGGUAACAUGGGGUUUUGGGUAAAAUGGGGUUUUGGGUAACAUGGGAUUUUGGGUAACAUGGGGUUUUGGGUAACAUGGGGUUUGGGGUAACAUGGGGUUUUGGGUAGCAUGGGGUUAUGAUUAUUUUAAGUGAGUAGCUCAAUUACGUCUGUUUAGUGUUCCAGAAUGUAUUGCUUUUACUUUUGUCUUUAUCUUAUUUAGUGUCUCUUAGAUUCUUUAUCUUAUUUAGUGUCUCUUAGAUUCUUUAUCUUAUUUAGUGUCUCUUAGAUUCUUUAUCUUAUUUAGUGUCUCUUAGAUUCUUUAUCUUAUUUAGUGUCUCUUAGAUUCUUUAUCUUGAAGUGUUUCCAAUAUUCAUCCAGGUAUUAUUAUGGUCUUCUUUUCCUUAAGUCGUUUUGGUUUGUUGUUGUUUACUUCAUGAUGUUGUUGGUGGUAUAUAUAGAUAAUGAUGUUAUUGAUUAUAAAUGUUAUGAUAUUGAUUAUGGUGUAGAUUAUUGUUUGAAUGUUGUGAGUAGUCUAGAGAUAAUAAUUGAAUUGAUUAUAAAUGUCAUGAUAUAAUUAUUGAUUAUGAAGUAGAUUACUGUUAUGAUGUUGCUCUCUAAACUGCCAUGUAAUCAACUGAAUGCUUUUAAUAAAAUUACAGGCUGUCAGUCUUGUGUGAUUCCCCUCUUGGACAGACUACAACAUACAGUAUGAAUUAA